CAGCAGUCAAGAAUAUUAGUCAAUGGCCUAACGGCUGAACUGGCAACUUGGAGAAGUGGCAAGUCUCAUAGGAUGGGCUGGUGCUACCCCCAUUUCUAUAAGAUUGUAUUAGGGUUGAAUGAAGCUUUGUUUAUAUAUUGAUAAUGACAGUAUAUAUAUCGUGUCUUGACUAAUUGCGUGCCAGCAGUCGCGGUAAUACGUAAGAGACUAGUGUUAUUCAUCUUAAUUAGGUUUAAAGGGUACCCAGACGGUCAAUAUAGCUUCUAAAAUGUUAGUACUUGACUAGAGUUUUAUGUAAGAGGGCAGUACUUGAGGAGGAGAGAUGAAAUUCCGUGAUACCAAAGGGACUCUGUAAAGGCGAAGGCAGCCCUCUAUGUAAAAACUGACGUUGAAGGACGAAGGCACAGAGAACAAACAGGAUUAGAUACCCAAGUAGUCUUUGCAGUAAAUGAUGAAUGCCAUAGGUCAGAUUAAUGUAGAUGAGGGACUAUACAUUAAACGUUAUUUGGUCUAUAAAUGAAAGUGUAAGCAUUCCACCUCAAGAGUAAUGUGGCAACGCAGGAACUGAAAUCACUAGACCGUUUCUGACACCAGUAGUGAAGUAUGUUAUUUAAUUCGAUAAUCCGCA
rnacentral:rRNA from 1 species